CCCUCCAGACGUGCGGGAGCGCUUCAAACCCGCCUCCCUUCCCCGGCAGGAGGCGAACCCCAGCAGCAGCAGCAGAAAACUCUGGUUCUCCCAGACAUCCCCACCACCCUUGAUGGCACAGAGUCCAACUCCGUUUGGGAGAAAAAAGAAACUGAAGAUUAAAGGGUUUGACACAAUUACACAGUUUUAGGGGCCUUGUACACCGAUCUGUAGAAAGCAGCAUCCAUUUCCAAAAGUACAUACAUAGAUCAUACAACAACUAUAGACUAAACCACGUUCAACCAUGUAUGUCUGUUUAAAAAAAAAAUCUAGAGUUACAAUUCCACAGGAAAAAAAUCCUCUACCAUCUGUACUGGAGUACUGCUCAAAUGACUAUGGCAUAAACAAAGCCAGCCAAAACAAGAAUCCUGGGAGUGACUCAUAGAUUUAAAGGUCAGAAGGGAACAUCAUGAUCAUCUAGUCUGAAUUCCCGCACAUCACAGGCCACAGAACCUCACCCACCCACUCCUGUAAUAGACCCCUCACCUCUGGCUGAGUUACUGAACUCCUCAAAUCAUGGUUUAAAGACUUCAAGUUACAGAGAAUUCACCAUUUACACAAGUUUAAACCUGCAAGGGACCCGUGCCCCAUGCUGCAGAGGAAGGUGAAAAAAACCCAGGGACAAUGAGAGGCGGUAAGAUCCUCUUCUGGGAGCAUAUGAUAGUAAUGCCAUUCUGGAAGAAGCUCAGAGAAAGCGGUCACUUCUGAUUACUAUCUAAUGUGAGUAAUUCUCAGGAAAGAUGAAUCCUUGCAGCCUGAAUCAUAGCAAAGGGGAGAAAAUAAGAUACUCCAAAAAUGGUAAGGUGGAAAGUCCUAGACACAGAGGAACCACCCAUGAUCCCAGUGUGUGUGGGACAUCACAGAGAGGCAUGAGAGUGACUCUGCAUGCUGCUCCUCACUGAUGGCAGAAAUGCUGGGUGGCAGGCUGGGAGAACCCACCCACCUUUUAGGGGAUGCACAGGGAGUCCAUCUGAUACGACAGCCAAUGAGCUGCUGGUGGCAGUGGGUUACUGAAUAGCUGCUCCUCACCAAGACACCAGGUUAGACGGGCAGAAAGAUUCCUCUGGCCCCUCUUAGAUGUCCUGCCUAAAGGCAGUUCAUUUGGGGGCCUUGUCUCCGUUGGGGAUUUGUCCCGAUUUCAGCCCCCAGGACGGCUAGCUUAAACAGGGUAAACCACUAUACUCUGCCAUUGGCACGGACGCAGCUUGGCCUGAGAUGCUUCACUGCUGCAAAAAGUGGCUCUGCCUGUCUCCACUAGGGAUUUGAAUGAGGAUGCCGAUACAUAGGUGGCUGGCCAUCAAAAGGUGUGGUCAGCACAAAUCCCCACUGCGGGCAAGGCCUUGGGCUUUGUACGUGUUGGGGGAAAGAGGGCAGCAUUUGGCCCUGAGAAAGAUUUUCCGUCCAAUUAAAGCCCUGAUUCAACAAGGUAUUUAAGCCUAUGCCUCACACAUGGGCAGUCCCAUGGAUUUCAAUCCUCCUGGCUUAGUACAGGGUCUCUAAAACUUCAAUGAGUCUGUUCAUACGUAAAGUUAGGCAUGUGCUUAAGCACCUUGCUGAUUUGGGGCCUAAAUACCAGUACAGCUUGAGGGAGUAUGGUGCUCAUUGGCUUAUAUAACAUUUAAGCAUGAGUUUUUUCCCUUACUGAGUGCCCAGAGAAACAGAGCAGUGUCCUUUUCUGUACAGCAUCGGGAUUAUCUGCCUCUUCCCUACUCUGAUUGUUUUUACAUUACAUUACCCAAUACAUUAUUCUGCUCCCUGGGUUUUUUUUUUUCCAAUAGAGCUCAAAUUUUUUAUUACAAUAUUCAGAUCUUUAAAUACAACAACUUCCAUUGUUAAGAAGUUCACAAGCGCCACAUAUAACGUACAAGAAUUUUAUUCAUACCAUAAUUCUGUCGCAUCAUCCAUAUCAAAUAUCACAAUAAUCUUUAAAAUGAAAUAGACUGUUCCCCUUACAUCAAAGGAAUUCUGCUGUUAAAUGGUUACAUGUCUUUUCAGAUUGUUUACAACAGAAUUGUAAUUCAAAUCGGAUUUUCAUCAUCUUUAAAAGUUCAAAGCAAAGUAUCUGUUUUGUAUGUGUGUAUAUUUAACUCUCAACAGUGAGAUUAAUACACUCAAUGUCUAAGUAAUGCUGAAAUGUUUCCUGCAUUUUAUGCCAAACGCUCACAGAUUUUUACCAAUACAGCAGCAGAAACGCAAGA